rnacentral:rRNA from 1 species
CGGGAAUAUUGGACAAUGGGGGCAACCCUGAUCCAGCAAUACCGCGUGUGUGAAGAAGGCCUGCGGGUUGUAAAGCACUUUUAGUGGGGAAGAUAAUGAUGUUACCCAUAGAAAAAGCACCGGUUAACUCCGUGCCAGCAGUUGCGGUAAUACGGAGGGUGCAAGCGUUAAUCGGAAUUACUGGGCGUAAAGCGUGCGUAGGCGGCUCUUUAAGUCGGAUGUGAAAUCCCCGGGCUUAACCUGGGAACUGCAUCCGAUACUGGGGAGCUAGAAUGUGGGAGAGGGAAGUGGAAUUUCCGGUGUAGCGGUGAAAUGCAUAGAGAUCGGAAGGAACAUCAGUGGCGAAGGCGACUUCCUGGACCAACAUUGACGCUGAGGCACGAAAGCGUGGGUAGCAAAC